AAUGGUCACUGCUUAAUAUGAUUAACUUUUUUUUUCCAUUCUCAUUUUACAGUUCCUGAUGAAUAUCUGUUAUCGCUGAAGUUUCUCUUUGGCUCAUCAGCCACCCAGGCCUUGGACCUAGUUGAUCGACAGUCCAUCACCUUAAUCUCAUCACCCAGUGGAAGGCGUGUUUACCAGGUCCUUGGAAGUUCCGGUAAAACAUACACAUGUUUGGCUUCUUGUCAUUACUGUUCAUGUCCUGCAUUUGCCUUCUCAGUGCUACGGAAGAGUGACAGCAUCCUGUGCAAGCAUCUCUUGGCAGUUUACCUGAGUCAGGUUAUGAGGACCUGUCAGCAGCUAAGUGUCUCUGACAAGCAGUUGACUGACAUAUUAUUGAUGGAGAAGAAACAAGAAGCAUAAAAGGUACAGAUUGAGCAUCAUUCUUUCAAAAUAGAAUCCUGUCAAGAAAUGCAUUGAAAGCGUCAUGAUUCACAUGGAAAAGAGGUGAAACGGAUCUUCAGACACUUCAUGUUACUGUCCCU
rnacentral:sRNA from 1 species